CCGGGCGUGGUGCGCGGGCCGGGUUUCCCGCCGGCUCUACCCGGUGUGGUGCGCAGGCGCAGUCUGCGCGAGGACUGGCGGGACUGCGCGGCGGCGACUACAGAUAUGUCGGGGGUCCGGGGCCUGUGGCGGAUGCUGAGCGCUCGGCGCCUGGUGCGGGUCAAGGCGUGGCCAACAGUGUUGCAAACAGGAACCCGAGGUUUUCACUUCACUGUUGAAGGAACAAGAGGGCAUCUGCUAAAGUUUCAGAUUCCAUUUCUGCUCAGUAUCCAGUAGUGGACCAUGAAUUCGACGCAGUGGUGGUAGGCGCUGGAGGGGCAGGCUUGCCAGCUGCAUUUGGCCUUUCUGAGGCAGGGUUUAAUACAGUGUGUGUUACAAAGCUGUUUCCUACCAGGUCACACACUGUUGUGGCGCAGCUAGAAAAUUAUGGCUUGCCAUUUAGCAGAACUGAAGAUGGGAAGAUUUAUCAGCGUGCAUUUGGUGGACAGAGCCUCAAGUUUGGAAAGGGUGGGCAGGCCCGUCGGUGCUGCUGUGUGGCUGAUCGGACCGGCCACUCAAUAUUGCACACCUUAUACAGGAGGGCACACGUGGUGCUGGUUGUCUCAUUACGGAAGGAUGUCGUGGAGAGGGAGGCAUUCUCAUUAACAGUCAAGGCGAAAGGUUUAUGGAGCGAUACGCCCCUGUCGCGAAGGACCUGGCGUCUAGAGAUGUGGUGUCUCGGUCGAUGACUCUGGAGAUCCGCAAAGGAAGAGGCUGUGGCCCUGAGGAAGAUCACGUCUACCUGCAGCUGCACCAUCUACCUCCAGAGCAGCUGGCCACGCGCCUGCGCGGCAUUUCAGAGACAGCCGUGCUCUUCACUGGCGUGGACGUCACGAAGGAGCCAAUCCCUGUCCUCCCCACCGUGCAUUACAACAUGGAUGGCAUUCCCACCAGCUACAAGGGGCAGGUCCUGAGGCAUGUGAAUGGCUAGGAUCAGAUUGUGCCCGGCCUGUACACCUGUGGGGAGGCCGCCUGUGCCUCGGUACAUGGUGCCAACCGCCUCGGGACAAACUCGCUGUUGGACCUGGUUGUCUGGUCAGGCAUGUGCCCUGAGCAUCGAAAAGUCAUGCAGGCCUGGAGAUAAAGUCCCUCCAAUUAAACCAAAUGCUGGGGAAGAAUCUGUCAUGAAUCUUGACAAAUUGAGAUUUGCUGAUGGAAACAUAAGAACAUCGGAACUGCGACUCAGCAUGCAGAAGGUAAGAGCCUGGACUCGCUCUGGGGUGAGCAGGCGGGCUGCAUACCUGGUCCUGCACUGGUUUUGUUUUUUUAAAAAUAGAUAUAUGGGGAUGCAGGUGCAGUUUUGUGUGGAUGUUUUUACUGUGAUGUGGUGGAGUCUGGGCUUUUCAUGUACCUGUCACGCAAGUCGUGUGUGUUGUACCCAGCAGGUAAUUGCUCAUCCCCACCCCCGCCCGCUUUUUGGAGCCCCCA